rnacentral:rRNA from 1 species
GACGUAGGGCGCGAGCGUUGUCCGGAUUUAUUGGGCGUAAAGAGCUCGUAGGCGGCUUGUCGCGUCGAAUGUGAAAACUCGGGGCUCAACUCCGAGCUUGCAUUCGAUACGGGCAGGCUAGAGUUCGGUAGGGGAGACUGGAAUUCCUGGUGUAGCGGUGAAAUGCGCAGAUAUCAGGAGGAACACCGAUGGCGAAGGCAGCUCGCUGGGACGGUACUGACGCUGAGGCGCGAAAGCGUGGGGAGCAAACAGG